rnacentral:rRNA from 1 species
UACAGAGGGGGCAAGCGUUGUUCGGAAUUACUGGGCGUAAAGGGCGCGUAGGCGGCCUCCUAAGUCAGACGUGAAAUCCCUCGGCUCAACCGGGGAACUGCGUCUGAUACUGGGAGGCUUGAAUCCGGGAGAGGGAUGUGGAAUUCCAGGUGUAGCGGUGAAAUGCGUAGAUAUCUGGAGGAACACCGGUGGCGAAGGCGGCAUCCUGGACCGAUACUGACGCUGAGGAGCGAAAGCCAGGGGAGCAAACGGG